AUGGUUUCUAGAACUAGUCUUUCACACCAUGUUCUGAUGAGCCUAGUGGUGCUGUCACUUCACCCUCCCCUUGGGCCUGGUCUUCAAUUUCCUGAUUGCUCUUCGACUACCUUCCUGGUUUCUCAGCCCGCUGGAUCUAAUUUUAGCAACAUGAUGAAUGGCCCAGGAAUGUACUCCACUGCCCUCUGCAGAAAGGAAUAUAUAUCAGACCUGCUCAGAGAAAUUUCUUUAAAAUGCAGGAAUCAUUCCACUUUGACUAGCACGAUAAGGAAUCAGUAUCUUCUUUUUUUUCUUGAGCUCCAAGGAGAAAAUGUUCAUUUUUCUUCCGUGCUACCUGUGAGUUUUCUGGCUGCUUCUGAACAUUCAUCACAGGUACCUGCACCCCACAUCUUGAUAAAACUUUAAUUUUAAAAUGAUGUUGAGGGCACAGCCCCCGGGUGGCUCAGUCGGCUGUGCAUCUGCCUUCCGCUCAGGUCAUGAUCCCAGGAUCCUGCAGUGGAGACCCCAGUCAGGCCCCCUGCUCAGUGGGGAGUCUGUGUCUCCCUCUCCCUCUCCCCCUCCCCCUCCCUCUCCCCCCUGCUCAUGCUCUCUCUCUCUCUCUCUCUCUCUCUCUCUCGCUCGCUCUCUCUCAAAUAAGUAAAAUCUUUUAAAAAAUAAAAUGACGUUGAAUUCGUUUUUAAUUCA
rnacentral:lncRNA from 12 species